rnacentral:rRNA from 1 species
AAUUACUUGAACCCUUCAAGUAAUCAUUUAUUUCUGGAAAUCAGAAUAAGCGACUACUUGAAGGACUCAAAUACUUUUUCUUUGUAUAAAUAAAUCAAUAAACUUAUUUUAUAUCUGCAUCUUUCAACAAAUAAUGACAUGUUUUUUGUGUUAAUUUAUAGUUGACGGCUCUUUUGGCUCUGAACCCAACUUACCAAGAAGAGCAACAACCAUUUUUGGAAGAAUUUCGCAGAAGUUCAUAAAGUUGGGGCUAUUGCUGAGGAAUAUGUGGAUUGCCGAGUCCUUUGCUUGAAAGUGGAACUGUGGCUGAAGAACUUCUACUGUUAGAGUAUAUUACUUUUUGGGCUAUUGUUGAUAGUGGGGAGGAUGAUGUCCAUGCUUUCAUGCAUGAGAACAACAAGAAGUUGGACAUCAUGGCUUCUCGUUGGAAGCACCAAGGCAGGCCUUGGCCACUCGACAGGGCGGCAUGCCCCCAUGUCGAGGCAUCACGACUCGAUCAGAUACCGUCCAAGUCUCAACCAUAAACGAUGUCGACCAGGGAUCGACGGAUGUUACUUUUAGGACACCGCCGACACCUUAUGAGAAAUCAAAGUCUUUGGGUUCCGGGGGGAGUAUGGUCACAAGGCUGAAACUUAAAGGAAUUGACGGAAGGGCACCACCAGGAGUGGAGCCUGCAGCUUAAUUUGACUCAACACGGGAAAACUUACCAGGUCCAGACAUAGUAAGGAUUGACAGACUGAGAGCUCUUUCUUGAUUCUAUGGGUGGUGGUGCAUGGCCGUUCUUAGUUGGUGGAGCGAUUUGUCUGGUUAAUUUCGUUAACGAACGAGACCUCAGCCUGCUAACUAGCUAUGCAGAGGUGACCCUCCGCGGCCAGCUUUUUAGAGGGACUAUGACCGCUUAGGCCAAGGAAGUUUGAGGCAAUAACAGGCUUGUGAUGCCCUUAGAUGUUCUGGGUCGCAGGCGCGCUACACUGAUGUAUUCAACGAGUAUAUAACCUUGGUCGACAGGCCCGAGAAAUCUUUGAAAUUUCAUCGUGAUGGGGAUAGAUCAUUGCAAUUGUUGGUCUUCAACGAGGAAUUCCUAGUAAGUGUGAGUCAUCAACUCGCGUUGACUACGUCCCUGCCUUUUGUACACACCGCCUGUCGCUCCUACCGAUUGAAAGGUCCGGUGAAGUGUUCGGAUCGCGACGACGUGGGUGGUCCGCUGCCCGCGACGUCGCCAGAAGUCCACUGAACCUUAUCAUUUAGAGGAAGGAGAAGUCGUAACAAGGUUUCCGUGAACCUGCGGAAG